UUUGCUUAUAGCUGCAUAGCCAAAUUACAAUUUGCUUGUGUCGCACUUCCACUCCACUUCUUACAGUUAGGCGUUCAGAGAACAAUUUUACAGUAUUUCUACUAUUUUCACAACAACUUUACACACGUAAGGAUAUAGCCAAAGUAAGUUAGACACCACCGAUUACUGCUGUCAAAAUCAUAUGGCUUGCUACACGAGAACAUACAUACAUAUGUAUAGUAAAUGUAUAUACCAUUUAUAAGUAGAUAAAUGUAAGGUGAGCGCGAAUCUCUUUAACAAUUUAUCAAAUAAUUACUCACUGUGAGCGCACACAAACGAACGAAUUGAAGAGAAACUUUGCAGGUUUACCAAGACUAUUACAAUUUGCUCGAUAGUUAUAUGUAUGUGGGUUAGUAAUUUCUCUGAUUUGGAUAGCCGUAAAAUCGGAAUAAAUGUGUUGUAGCUGGACUUUUGACAAGUCCAUGAACGCUCAAUGAAUGAAGGUGUAAAUUGCUAAAGGAUUACUUACAUAUGUAUGUGUGAA